GGAUGUGAGGGCAACCUGGCUGUGACAUCUGUCACCCCAUUGAUCACCAGGGUUGACUCGGCUGAUCUGGCUGGCUAGGUGGGUGUCCCCUUUCUCCCUCACCACGUCCCUCCUGAAGCUGUGUGCAUGGUCGAAGAGGACAACCACCCCAGAUAAAGGAGGACUGUUUCCUUGGUCAAGGGUAUAUGAAUAGCUGUGCUCCCCUGCUAGAACCUCCAAACCAGCUCUCAAGAAGUGACAAUCUAACUAAAAAUGAGGAAGAGAGUGUUACAUACUGGAAAUACCUCGAUCCUUUUAUAGAACCAGACCUAGAU
rnacentral:snRNA from 1 species